UCACGACUGCAUCCAACUUCCUGCACUGCCGCUGCCUCACCUCAAGGUGUAGCAUGUAGAACGACCCCAAGCACAAGGGUCUUCAGAGCCCAAACAAGUUCUAUUGAGCAGGCGUCCCAUGUGGCCUGCCUCAGUUUCCCUAUCUCUAAGAGUGAAUGACCAUGAUACAUCUCUCAGGGCUGUUUGAAGAACUCUCCCGGUCUGUGUGCCCUCGCACUUGAAUGGACCAGGUGUGAGAGGUAGUGAGGGCCCUUUGUUAGGGUCAGCCUUCAGCACGUGGGCCCCAAUUGAGGCCCCUCAGUCUUAAUGACCUUUGCCCUCUUGGAGACUUGCCCCACUUUAGCUAAAGCACAACACCAUGGGUAUAUAACAGCCACCUGGACCCCUGUUAGUGUCCCCAUGCUCAAAAUUCCACCAUAUUGCCUGUCUCCCACUAUGUCGGCCGCUUCCGUGGUCCUGCUGUGAAGGCUGCUGGUGCCUAUCGCAGAGAACCAAAGCUCGUGGAAGUGGACUUUCGUGUCUCAGUGCCCAUCUCCAGUUUUGCCUCCCACAGGCAAAGUCCUUGGAAAGGGUGUCCUGUACCCCACUUCCCCUGCAAGAAGGGCUUUGCUCUCUCCUGGGUCUGGGCUGUGCCAGGGACAUGGGUAUUCCCAGGAGAGUCUGGGAGCUGGGAGCAGAGGGGGAGAGCUGUCACCAGACAGCGGACCCUCUGUGUUGGGACCUGGAGAUAGUCUUAAGGCCAGCACAGAACCAGCCUGUGUCUCCUUGUUCUUGAGACGUGGUGGACAGGCCUGUCUCCUCUCCCUCUGCAGACAGAUUUCCAACCACAGCUGGGGAUGAGGGAGGAGGGCUGGCCUACCCUAGGCCUCAGAGGUCUCUGUUAUCCCUGGUUAAGUAAAAGAUCAGCCACCACAGAAGAGUAGAGCAGGGGACUGUGGUCCAUGAUUGGAUUUGGGAGAAGCUGCCUCUGGCCAUUUGCUGCUGUGCCUUCAGGGACUGACAUGUCAUACAGGGGCAGAGGCCACCAGCUAGCCACUGUCUCUCUCACAGGUCUCAAAUGACCAAUUUACCACUUGGGUUUCACUCUGUAUUUUGUAUUCAAUGGCAAUACUUGUAGUGGGGACAUAGUCCCCCUCAGUCACUCCUGAUUUUUACAAAACUUUAAGGGCAAACCCUGAACUGAGGGCCGUAGGCACCUAGGGCUCUUUCCCACACUAAGUCCAGCCUCCCUGUUUGCUGACAGCUCUAGCUAUCUCUAUACCACCACCCAGCCCAGAGGCAGGGAUUCGUUUGUAUUUUUUUUUUUUUUGGAAAAAACAAAACAAAACAAAACAGCGUUUCUUUUCUGUACAGGACCCAAUAAAAAAUUCCUCAUGGUUUGC
rnacentral:lncRNA from 1 species